rnacentral:rRNA from 1 species
UCAAGCGACCAAGGGCAUAAGGUGAAUGCCUUGGCACUGAGAGCCGAAGAAGGACGUGAUAAGCUGCGAAAAGUCUCGGGGAGGAGCAAAUAUCCAUUGAUCCGUGAAUAUCCGAAUGGGGAAACCCACUUGAGCAAACCUCAAGUAUCUUGUUGUGAAUACAUAGCAACAAGAGGGAAUAGUUGGUGAACUGAAACAUCUAAGUAGCCAGACGAAAAGAAAGAAAAAAUUCGAUUUUCAAAGUAGCGGCGAGCGAAAUGGAAAGAGCCCAAAUUAAGUCAAGGGAGAAGAAGGAUAGUAGAAUGGUAUGGGAAGACCAACCGAAGAAAGUGAAAGUCUUGUAAACGAAAUCCAACUGAUUCUGACUUAGAAAGAGUAGCAUGGGACACGAGAAAUCCUGUGUGAAUAUAGGGGGACCACCCCCUAAGGCUAAAUACUACUCAGUGACCGAUAGAGAAUAGUACCGUGAGGGAAAGGUGAAAAGAACCCCGGGAGGGGAGUGAAAUAGAACCUGAAACCUUAUGCCUACAAGCAGAUAGAGUCUUAAGAGAGAUGAUAUCGUACUUUUUGUAGAACGGGCCAGCGAGUUAUGGUGUGCGGCAAGGUUAAGUAAUGAAGUUACGGAGCCGUAGGGAAACCGAGUCUGAAUAGGGCGAGAUAGUCGUAUGCCAUAGACCCGAAACCAGGUGAUCUAUCCAUGAGCAGGUUGAAGUGAAAGUAAAAUUUCAUGGAGGACCGAACCGGGUAGCGUUUAAAAGCUAUCGGAUGACUUGUGGAUAGGGGUGAAAAGCCAAUCGAACUUGGAGAUAGCUGGUUCUCCUCGAAAUAGCUUUAGGGCUAGCCUCAAUUUAGUUUACAGGGGGUAGAGCACUGAAUACCGUAGGGGUGUUAGACAUUACCGAAAGUUAUCAAACUGCGAAUACCUGAUAAAUGAUGAUUGGGAGUCAGACUAUGUGGGAUAAGCUUCAUAGUCAAAAGGGAAAGAGCCCAGACCACCAGCUAAGGUCCCUAAAUAUAGAUUAAGUGGUAAAGGAUGUUUUACUACUUAGACAACCAGGAUGUUGGCUUAGAAGCAGCCAUACAUUUAAAGAGUGCGUAAUAGCUCACUGGUCAAGUGGUAGAGCGCCGAAAAUGAACGGGGCUAAAAUCUAAUACCGAAGCUGUGGACUAAUUUAAUUAGUGGUAGAGGAGCAUUGUGUAAGGGGCGAAGCUAAGUUGGAAGACGAAGUGGACUUUACAGAAGAGAGAAUGCUGGCAUGAGUAGCGAAAAGGAGGGUGAGAAUCCCUCCCGUCGAAAGCCUAAGGAUUCCUGAGGAAGGCUCGUCCUCUCAGGGUAAGUCGGGACCUAAGCCCAGGCUGAAAAGCGUAAGCGAUGGACAACAGGUUGAGAUUCCUGUACUAUCUUUGAAUGUUUGAGAGAUGUACUGACGCAGGAGGAUAUGUUGAGCGUGUGAAUGGUAGAGCACGUCUAAGCAAGUAGGUAGAGAAUAGAGGCAAAUCCCUAUUCUUAAUAUCGAGAUGCGAUGGGGAGCGAAAAAUAAGUAGUGAAGCAACAGAUUCCAAACUGCCAAGAAAAGGUACUAUUGAGUGAGAAGAUACCCGUACCAAAACCGACACAGGUAGGCAAGGAGAGAAUCCUAAGACGCGCGGAAGAACCUUUGUUAAGGAACUCGGCAAAAUGACCCCGUAACUUCGGGAGAAGGGGUACCAUUAGAUGUGAAAUACUUACGUAUGGAGCAUAGAGUGGUCGCAGAGAAUAGGCCCAAGCAACUGUUUACCAAAAACACAAGUCUCUGCUAAAUCGAAAGAUGAAGUAUAGGGGCUGACACCUGCCCGGUGCUGGAAGGUUAAGGGGAAAUGUUAGAGCAAUCGAAGCAUAGAACUUAAGCCCCAGUAAACGGCGGCCGUAACUAUAACGGUCCUAAGGUAGCGAAAUUCCUUGUCGGGUAAG